GUUGAAACACCGGUUCAUGUACGAUUACCGAAGUUAAGCAACGUCGAGACUCGUCAGUACCUAGAUGGAUGACCGUUUGGGAAUACCAGGUAUUGUAAG